AGCCCAGCUCCCCAGCAGGCAGUGACCACUCAGGUGGAGGAAGAUGGAGUGGUGGGCUGGAAGGAAGGGGCCACGGGGGUGGCAGGAGAAAGGCUGCAAGGAAAGGUUUCACCUCAUGUUCCAAGUCACUGACGGCAUCACUGCUUGUUGCUGCUGUGACAGGCACACCAGCAGCAGCAGGGAGGAGAAACCAGUUUCAAGCACAGCAGCCUUGGAAUUGUGGCAUGACAGGAAGCUGACACAAAGUGUGAUCACAAUUUGUAUACAGCUAGCAGGUGUAGAUUGUGUCAAGACAAAGAUCCACCCCAUUCACUAAUCUGCCUUCUGGAAUUUGCCUGGGGAACAAAUGUUGUGCUCAUGCCAGAGAUUGCUAAGAAGCCAGACUUCAGUUAGUGAAACCCUCAGACACUGAAACAAGCACCACAGAAUAGUAAAAGGACACUGCAAAAUAGGGAAAUUCUGUAUAUGAAGCAAAACCAAAUCAUGUCUUGUGCUGAAGUGGAAAGGAGUCACCUGUGAAGAAAAUGUAACCUUGAAUUUUUUGUCUAUAUCACAAUACAUAACUAUCUUGACAUUUUCUACCCAUUGAACACUUCUGAGCCUUUAUAACGCUCUUUUAACGGUGUUUUUUCUUCUAAUUUAAUAAUAAAAGAAGCUUGUUGAGCUAAAGAAUUAGGUUGUACCUAAAGGUCAACUAAUAUACACUAAUAAAACUGUACAGAAUAU